GUCUAAUCGCCCGCUUUGCUGUCAUUAACUUGCGUCACUGGCAUUGUGUUAAACACAGCCCACGUUUUCAUUUCUGUGCAAGUAUUACAUACAUGAAAGAGAAUAUAUGACAAUUGAUUCUGUGAUUUAAUAUUGAUCGUACCCUGUGUGCUUUUUGCACCUACAGGGCUCAUCUCAUCUCUGACAAAAAUGGUGUCUGCAUCAACUGUGACCAGGGCUUUGACAACGGGACACUUUCCUUGUUUGUGGAUAAAUCUGAGAAGAAAAAAGUAGUAAAUUUGAGAGUGGAAAACACCGAAAGGGUACCCGUGUUUUUCACCAAGUGCUUCCCACUGCACAGUCUCAAGUGCAUCACACUUAAAGAUGAGCUCAAUGUGACCAAGGACCACCCCCACCUUCUGCAACCAGGUAAUGUAAAAAAUAGUGUAUCUUAUUGACAUUACCAAUAGCAGAGAAAUUAUUGCCCCAUCCCAGAAGGAAUCAUCUGUUUGUCAAGGCAGAGUCUCAUCCAG
rnacentral:lncRNA from 1 species